rnacentral:rRNA from 1 species
GACGAACGCUGGCGGCGUGCCUAACACAUGCAAGUCGAACGCGCUCCAUUCGGUAGCAAUACUGAUGAAGAGCGAGUGGCGAACGGGUGAGUAACACAUGAGCAACCUGCCCCCGAAGACUGGGACAACACCGGGAAACCGGUGCUAAUACCGGAUAUCCCUAUCGGACCGCAUGAUCUGAUAAGGAAAUGGAUUCCGCUUCGGGAGGGGCUCGUGGCCUAUCAGCUAGUUGGUGAGGUAAUAGCUCACCAAGGCAUCGACGGGUAGCUG